GAUGAAGAACGUAGCGAAAUGCGAUAAGUAAUGUGAAUUGCAGAAUUCAGUGAAUCAUCGAAUCUUUGAACGCACAUUGCGCCCGCCAGUAUUCUGGCGGGCAUGCCUGUUCGAGCGUCAUUACAACCCUCAGGCCCCCGGGCCUGGCGUUGGGGAUCGGCGGAAGCCCCCUGCGGGCACAACGCCGUCCCCCAAAUACAGUGGCGGUCCCGCCGCAGCUUCCAUUGCGUAGUAGCUAACACCUCGCAACUGGAGAGCGGCGCGGCCACGCCGUAAAACACCCAACUUCUGAAUGUUGUCCUCGAAUCAGGUAGGAAUACCCGCUGAACUUAAGCAUAUCAAUAAGCGGAGGA
rnacentral:misc_RNA from 1 species